rnacentral:tRNA from 1 species
GAGGGUAUAGCUCAGUGGUAGAGUGUGUGCUUAGCAUGCACAAAGCCCUGGGUUCAAUUCCUGGUACCUCCA